AAUGGAAGUUAAUGUUGCUUCACUGCAACACAUAUCUCUAGCACUACUCGCAUACUAGGACUAGGAAGUAGAGAAACUUCAUUUACACGAGUGAUCAUCAUAAGAAGUAUCAACACACCCGGUGUUACAACUUGUUUAUUGCAAAGGGCAAGGGAACUUAUGUUCGUGGUCAUUGUGAAGCUUCCGUUUUUGCUCUUCAUAUAUUUAAAGUUUUGUGAGAAAUCUUA
rnacentral:misc_RNA from 1 species